AGUCUUUGCUUCAGAAAAGUUUACAUAUUCGUCGUGUUUUUAAAGGCAACUUUUCAAACGAAGUUUGUGGAGUGGGGUCAUCCUCCAGUUGGAUGUUGCUCUCUAUCUUUACCUCAUUUAUUUAAUCAUUCACAGUGCCUUCGAGAAACAGACGUUGAUGGUCAACAGUAAUAUACAAGAACUUGAGGAUAAAAAUCACGAGGAAUGCGAUUUGUUUCAAAAGUACAUCAGCAACGAUGAUAUUUUGAUGGCAUCGUAAGAAGAUGGUGGACGAGCUUACAGGAAUGAUUUACCAUCAAGGUAUAUUUACGAUCAGACUUAUGGCGCGUGCAAAUAUUUAUUGUACAAAUAGGAUAUUGUGUCCCCAAUGAUCCGUUUGUAACCUUUACGCAGCGGAAUUUGUAGCGUUGUUGGUGUAAAUCAUUCGUAACUUGAGUUGAAUAACAAAACAUACUCGUUCAUUGAA